AUUUGGUGGUAGAUUGUGGUGGAGGGGGAGUUUGUAGCUGCCGUAGGAGGCUUCUUGUUUCUUAAUGAAUAUGUUCUAUGCAUUUUAUCGAAUAC